rnacentral:rRNA from 1 species
UACGGAGGGGGCUAGCGUUGUUCGGAAUUACUGGGCGUAAAGCGCACGUAGGCGGCUUUGUAAGUUAGAGGUGAAAGCCCAGGGCCUAACCCUGGAAUUGCCUUUAAGACUGCAUCGCUAGAAUCGUGGGGAGGUGAGUGGAAUUCCGAGUGUAGAGGUGAAAUUCGUAGAUAUUCGGAAGAACACCAGUGGCGAAGGCGACUCACUGGACACGUAUUGACGCUGAGGUGCGAAAGCGUGGGGAGCAAACAGG